rnacentral:rRNA from 1 species
GACGAACGCUGGCGGCGUGCUUAACACAUGCAAGUCGAACGGAAAGGCCCUGCUUUUGUGGGGUGCUCGAGUGGCGAACGGGUGAGUAACACGUGAGUAACCUGCCCUUGACUUUGGGAUAACUUCAGGAAACUGGGGCUAAUACCGGAUAGGAGCUCCUGCUGCAUGGUGGGGGUUGGAAAGUUUCGGCGGUUGGGGAUGGACUCGCGGCUUAUCAGCUUGUUGGUGGGGUAGUGGCUUACCAAGGCUUUGACGGGUAGCCGGCCUGAGAGGGUGACCGGCCACAAUGGGACUGAGAGACGGCGCAGACUGCUACGGGAGGCAGCAGUGGGGAAUAUUGCACAGUGGGCGGAAGCCUGAGGCAGCAACGCCGCGUGCGGGAUGACGGCCUUCGGGUUGUAAACCGCUUUCGCCUGUGACGAAGCGUGAGUGACGGUAAUGGGUAAAGAAGCACCGGCUAACUACGUG